CGCGAUUGAUCGCCGCGUUUCUGAACAUAGGGACGCGGCAACAUAAUUACACAACAUAAUUGCAGCCGAAAUAAUUAUCGUAAUUUUAUUCGUGGUAUCAUUGAUUAUAAACAACUAAUACAUCUUUAUAAUCAAUGACGGUAUUAACAAAAUAACGAUUAAUGAUUUAAACAAUUCACGCACGGUACAUGGAUUGGGAACGCUCAAAAUACUAUAUAAAUCUAAAAAAAGACGAUCUAGGAUAAUGGAAACUGUUAUGAGGUAAUUUAAUGUUUAUCCGCAAGCAACGAUAAACCAUUGUUAACGAAAAAACGAUUCUGAGCGCAGUUCAUUUGAUAGUGAUGUUUUGUCAACAGUGUAUACAUGUCGCAUUAUGAUAAAAUAAUUGAAUAUGC